GAGGGGCUCGCGGCCUAUCAGCUAGUUGGUGAGGUAACGGCUCACCAAGGCGACGACGGGUAGCUGGUCUGAGAGGAUGGCCAGCCACAUUGGGACUGAGAAACGGCCCAGACUCCUACGGGAGGCAGCAGUGGGGAAUCUUGCGCAAUGGCCUAACGGCUGACGCAGCGACGCCGCGUGAGGGAUGACGCUCUUCGGAGUGUAAACCUCUGUUGCCCGGGACGAAUAGCGGAUUUUUCCGACUUGACGGUACCGGGUGAGGAAGCACCGGCUAACUCCGUGCCAGCAGCCGCGGUAAUACGGGGGGUGCGAGCGUUGUCCGGAAUCACUGGGCGUAAAGGGCGCGUAGGUGGUCUGGUAAGUUUGUGGUGAAAGCCCGGGGCUCAACCCCGGGUCUGCCGCGAAUACUGUCGGACUUGAGUACUGUAGAGGCUGGUAGAAUGCCGGGUGUAGCGGUGGAAUGCGUAGAGAUCCGGCAGAAGACCGGUGGCGAAGGCGGCCAGCUGGGCAGUGACUGACACUGAGGCGCGACAGCGUGGGGAGCAAACAGGAUUAGAUACCCUGGUAGUCCACGCCGUAAACGAUGGGUACUAGAUGC
rnacentral:rRNA from 1 species